AGCGAACGCUGGCGGCAGGCCUAACACAUGCAAGUCGAACGAAGUCUUCGGACUUAGUGGCGGACGGGUGAGUAACACGUGGGAACGUGCCUUUAGGUUCGGAAUAACUCAGGGAAACUUGUGCUAAUACCGAAUGUGCCCUUCGGGGGAAAGAUUUAUCGCCUUUAGAGCGGCCCGCGUCUGAUUGGCUAGUUGGUGAGGUAAAGGCUCACCAAGGCGACGAUCAGUAGCUGGUCUGAGAGGAUGAUCAGCCACAUUGGGACUGAGACACGGCCCAAACUCCGACGGGAGGCAGCAGUGGGGAAUCUUGCGCAAUGGGCAAAAGCCUGACGCAGCCAUGCCGCGUGAAUGAUGAAGGUCUUAGGAUUGUAAAAUUCUUUCACCGGGGACGAUAAUGACGGUACCCGGAGAAGAAGCCCCGGUUAACUUCGUGCCAGCAGCCGCCGUAA
rnacentral:rRNA from 1 species